rnacentral:rRNA from 1 species
AUACGGAGGGUGCAAGCGUUACUCGGAAUCACUGGGCGUAAAGCGCGCGCAGGCGGCUAUUUAAGUUGUAUGUGAAAGCCUACGGCUCAACCGUAGAACUGCAUCCAAAACUAUUUAGCUAGAGUGUGGGAGAGGAAGAUGGAAUUAGUUGUGUAGGGGUAAAAUCCGUAGAGAUAACUAGGAAUACCAAAAGCGAAGGCAAUCUUCUGGAACACUACUGACGCUGAGGCGCGAAAGCGUGGGGAGCAAACAGGAUUAGAAACCCCAGUAGUCC